UAGUAACAAAUAUUCAAGUGAGAACCUUGAAGGCUGAGGUGGUAAAGGGUUCCAUGGGAACAGCAGUUGGCCAUGGGUCAAAUGGUCAUAAGUGAUCUGGUUUCUCUGUACAGAGACGUGGGGCGCCUUAAAAAAUCUGUAUUUGUGCAUGUGCCCGUGCAGUCGGCAGCCCCCCCCCCCCCCCCCGGAAAGAAAUGGAAUCGGGUUAUUAUUCCCAACCAUGCCCACGGAGAUAGGAAAGCUUUUGGCUGGAACAUCAUUGUGUGCGCUUUUACGGCGUUUGAAGCUGUGUUCCGUUUCUGGUAGUUGCUAAGCGCGUUUAUGCAAUCAUAAUUUGGAUAAGCUCUGAUGCCCGUGUCAGACCCACUGGUC
rnacentral:ncRNA from 1 species